CAGUAGCGCGGGAAUACGGAGGGUGCAAGCGUUAAUCGGAAUUACUGGGCGUAAAGCGCACGCAGGCGGUCUGUCAAGUCAGAUGUGAAAUCCCCGGGCUUAACCUGGGAACUGCAUUUGAAACUGGCAGGCUAGAGUCUUGUAGAGGGGGGUAGAAUUCCAGGUGUAGCGGUGAAAUGCGUAGAGAUCUGGAGGAAUACCGGUGGCGAAGGCGGCCCCCUGGACAAAGACUGACGCUCAGGUGCGAAAGCGUGGGGAGCAAACAGGAUUAGAUACCCCGGUAGUCCCUGUCUCUUAUACA
rnacentral:rRNA from 1 species